CCUACGGGAGGCAGCAGUGAGGAAUAUUGGUCAAUGGCCGGAAGGCUGAACCAGCCAUGCCGCGUGAAGGUCAGUGCCCUAUGGGCGUUAAACUUCUUUUGUCCGGGAGCAAUAAUGGUCACGUGUGGCCAGACGAGAGUACCGUACGAAUAAGCACCGGCUAACUCUGUGCCAGCAGCCGCGGUAAUACGGGGGAUGCAAGCGUUAUCCGGAUUUAUUGGGUGUAAAGGGUGCGGAGGAUGGGAGGUAAGUCAGAGGGGAAAUGCCCCGGGUCAACGGGCUGAGGUGCAUUGAUACUGGCGUGCUGGAGUGCGGGAGCGGUAGGAGGAAUGCGUGGUGUAGCGGUGAAAUGCAUAGAUAUCACGCAGAACACCGAUUGCGAAGGCAUCUCACGGAUCCGCGAUUGACGCUGAUGCACGAAAGCGUGGGGAUCAAACAGGAUUAGAUACCCUAGUAGUC
rnacentral:rRNA from 1 species